UACGGGGGGGGCAAGCGUUGUUCGGAAUUACUGGGCGUAAAGGGCUCGUAGGCGGCCAACUAAGUCCGACGUGAAAUCCCCAGGCUUAACCUGGGAACUGCGUCGGAUACUGGAUGGCUUGAAUCCGGGAGAGGGAUGCGGAAUUCCAGGUGUAGCGGUGAAAUGCGUAGAUAUCUGGAGGAACACCGGUGGCGAAGGCGGCAUACUGGAUCUUAUCUGACGCUGAGGCGCGAAAGCUAGGGGAGCAAACGGG
rnacentral:rRNA from 1 species